rnacentral:pre_miRNA from 1 species
AUAAUACUCCCUCCGUCCGGAAUUACUUGUCAUCAAAAUGGAUGUGUCUAGAACUAAAAUACAUUUAGAUACAUCCAUUUCAAUGACAAGUAUUUUCGGACGGAGGAAGUAGUAG